ACGAACGCUGGCGGCAUGCCUAAUACAUGCAAGUCGAACGAUCCCUUCGGGGAUAGUGGCGCACGGGUGCGUAACGCGUGGGAAUCUGCCCUUGGGUUCGGAAUAACUUCGGGAAACUGAAGCUAAUACCGGAUGAUGACGAAAGUCCAAAGAUUUAUCGCCCAGGGAUGAGCCCGCGUAGGAUUAGCUAGUUGGUGGGGUAAAGGCUCACCAAGGCAACGAUCCUUAGCUGGUCUGAGAGGAUGAUCAGCCACACUGGGACUGAGACACGGCCCAGACUCCUACGGGAGGCAGCAGUGGGGAAUUUUGGACAAUGGGCGCAAGCCUGAUCCAGCCAUGCCGCGUGAGUGAAGAAGGCCUUCGGGUUGUAAAGCUCUUUCGGGUGUGAAAAUGAUGAUGGUAACACCAGAAGAAGCCCCGGCUAACUCCGU
rnacentral:rRNA from 1 species